GACCUCGAAUCAGGUAGGAAUACCCGCUGAACUUAAGCAUAU
rnacentral:rRNA from 1 species